UCAGGAUGAACGCUGGCGGCGUGCCUUAGGCAUGCAAGUUGAACGAAUCGUAAGAUUAGUGGCGGACGGUCGAGUAACGCGUGGGAAUCUACCUCAAAGUGUAGGAUAGCCAGCCGAAAGGUUGGAUAAUACUGCAUGUGAUCGCAAGAUUAAAGAUUUAUCGCUUUGAGAUGAGCCUGCGUAGGAUUAGCUAGUUGGUGGGGUAAAGGCCUACCAAGGCUACGAUCCUUAGCUGGUCUGAGAGGAUGACCAGCCGGAAUGGGACUGAGACACGGCCCAUACAUCUACGGAUGGCAGCAACCGGGAAUCUUGGACAAUGGGCGAAAGCCUGAUCCAGCGACGCCGCGUGGAGGAUUGAAGGCCCUCGGGUUGUAAACUCCUUUUGGGUGGGAAGAUUAUGACGGUACCACCAGAAUAAGCACCUGCUAACUACGUGCCAGAAGCCUCGGUAAUACGUAGGGUGCAAGCGUUAUCCGGAUUUACUGGGCGUAAAGUGUUGCGUAGGCGGUCCGAUGCAUUUCAUUUGAAAUUCUAUAGCUCAACUAUAGUUCCGGAUGAAAUAUGAUUGGACUUGAUGGUUGGAGAGGGUACUGGAACAGAUCAUGUAGCAGUGAAAUGCGUUGAUAUGAUCUGGAACACCAAAGGCGUAGGCAGGUACCUGGUCAACUCAUGACGCUGAGGCACGAAAGCUUGGGGAGCGAAGCAGAUUAGAGACCUGCGUAGUCCAAGCCGUAAACGAUCCUUGCUAGAUACCCGAUUUUUUUUGGGUGUCGUAAGCUAACGCGUUAAGCAAGGCGCCUGGGGAGUACGGUCGCAAGACUAAAACUCAAAGGAAUUGACGGGGAGGCGCACAAGCAGUGGAGCAUGUGGUUUAAUUCGAUACGAAGCGAAAAACCUCACCAGGGUUUGACAUGUAGAUGCUAAGCCGUAGAAACACGGCCUCCUUCGAGGGUUCUACACAGAUGCUGCAUGGCUGUCGUCAGCUCGUGGCGUGAGCUGUACCGUUAAGUCGGGUAACGAGCGCAACCCGCAUUGUAUGUUAAAUAAUUCAUACAAAACUGCCCCAUUUUUUGGGGAGGAAGGCGCGGAUGACGUCAAGUCAGCACGGCUCUUACACCCUGGGCUACACACAUCCUACAAUGGCGAAUAACAACGAGUUGCAAGCUGGUAACAGCAAGCUAAUCUCUAAAAUUUCGCCUCAGUUCAGAUUGAGGGCUGCAAUUCGCCCUCAUGAAGCCGGAAUUGCUAGUAAUCGCGAAUCAGCAGGUCGCGGUGAAUACGUUCUCGCCUCUUGUACACACCGCCCGUCAAGGCAGCAAAGUUGGGGGCGCCCGAA
rnacentral:rRNA from 1 species